ACCUCAAACUCAACCAGGGGGAGGACGUCAAAUCCCAAAAAGGAGCGGAUCAGAGGGUGGAAACAGGUCGAGCAAGAGUCUGCAUUGGCUCUCAACAAAGGCACCGCGCUCAUGCACCUUGCACACACCGCCAGGAGUUCCUCCCCGUCAGUGAAGGGCAUACCCCUUGCUGUCAGUGCCGCCGCGUCCACCUGGUUCCUCCAGGAGGGG
rnacentral:rRNA from 11 species